rnacentral:rRNA from 1 species
ACGGAGGAUCCGAGCGUUAUCCGGAUUUAUUGGGUUUAAAGGGUGCGUAGGCGGACCCUUAAGUCAGUGGUGAAAGUUUGCGGCUCAACCGUAAAAUUGUCAUUGAAACUGAGGGUCUUGAGUGUAAAUGAGGUAGGCGGAAUGUGUUGUGUAGCGGUGAGAUGCUUAGAUAUAACACAGAACACCAAUUGCGAAGGCAGCUUACUGGGAUACAACUGACGCUGAGGCACGAAAGCGUGGGGAUCAAACAG